AUUGUCACUCGUUCUCUCUGUAAACCCGUGUCUCUCCCAAUUCGAACUCUCUGUCCAAUCUCUCUCCCUAAACACCCCGACGCCGACACCACCCAACUCGCUCCAAUCUCUCUCACCGCUCCAAUGCCUCCGAAGUUAGCCCGCCUUUGCCAACAACAAGCUCGGCGAGAAGCAGCCGCCUUAGAAGCGUCGUCUCCUCCGCCCUCCAACGCAGGCUCGCCCUCUCCUCUGCCGCUUCCCUCGCUUUGUAACACCACCACCGCUCAAUAUCUCUCUCCUCCGCCGCCGGCCAGCUCUGCCACGGCCGGCGGCGACGCCCCCGCUGCAGCCCAACUGAGCAUUCGGUGCAAGAACCGAAGUGGUCAAGGGAAAAUUGAAGAGGAAGCUUGAUGAGAUGAUACAAGCACGAGGUGAGGCAGACUUGGGGAAUGUAGAGCCAAUCCCGGAUGAUGAUUAAUUUGAUCUACUCAAAGAGUGCUUAGGAGAGCGAAAAGGCACAUAAAUUAGAGGCGUGGGAGGAGCUGUUAAACGGGCUACAAAGACACGAGGAGGACCACAAACUGUCUUUAACGCUUAAGAAGUUGAGGAGAGAAAUCAGCAGUUAGAGGAGAGAGCCCGGCAAGCCGAGGAGAGCGCGCAGAGGGCUAAGGAGGCAACUGCCCAAGCUGAAGAGCAAGUUCGAAAGUCAAUGGAGGAAAAUCAGGCCAUGAAAGAUGAAAAUCAAGCCAUCAAGGAGCGUCUUAAAGCGAUGGAGGUAAUGCUACAAAGUGUGCUAGCUGCACAAGCAUGUAGUACUUGAGGUAGCACACUAGCACUAGUAGUAUGGUAAUGAUGAUGAUGAUGCUGCUUUGAAUGAAAGUGAGGUGUAGCAAGUGAUAGGGGUUCUGUACCCAUUUUUUCUCAGUUAAACCAAAUGAAGUGACAGAAACAUAGAAUCUCGUCGCUUCAAUAGUAACAAGGAACAACCCAAAAUUAAAUUAAGGCGUCGCUUCAAUAUAUAUUUCGUCGGUUCAAUAUAGGAGACAGAACAAAAGUCGUCACUUGAGCACACUGGCCCGUCGCUUCAAUAUAUAUUUCGUCGCUUCAAUAUAGGAGACGGAACAAAAGUUGUCACUUGAGCACACUGGCCAGUCGCUUCAACCCUCAGGGGACGAAACCAAAGCCGUCGGUUGAAUGUAAAUUGAAGCGACGACUUUUGAACUAUUGGUCGCCUCAUGACUGAGGGGACGGUAACGACGCGACCACUUUCAAGCGACGACAUUCUUGUCGCCUGAGACUUGAAGCGACCAUUUGGUGCUGCAGGCGACCAUUUGCUUCCGUUGCCUGAGUGUUUGGCUGGCGUAGUGAUAUAGUUAUUUGUUAUGUUCAUGAUGUUAUACUUCAAAGGAUUA